CUGGAUGUAGCUCAGUCGGCAGAGCGCGUGGCUUGGGCCCACGAGGCCGGCGGUUCGAGUCCGCCCAUUCAGACCA
rnacentral:tRNA from 1 species